rnacentral:rRNA from 1 species
AACGUAGGAGGCGAGCGUUAUCCGGAGUUACUGGGCGUAAAGGGCUCGUAGGUGGCCAACUAAGUCAGACGUGAAAUCCCUCAGCUUAACUGGGGAACUGCGUCUGAUACUGGAUGGCUUGAGUUUGGGAGAGGGACGCGGAAUUCCAGGUGUAGCGGUGAAAUGCGUAGAUAUCUGGAGGAACACCGGUGGCGAAGGCGGCAUCCUGGACCAACACUGACACUGAUGAGCGAAAGCCAGGGGAGCAAACGGG